CCACAUCUCAGGAGGAAAAUCCAGAAAUGCACAGUUUAAAUGAUAGCUCAGAAUAAUCAUCCUAGGUCAAUAUUCCUGAGCAUCCCAGAUCUGCUGCCUGACUGAGGCCUUGCCAGCUGAAAACAGCAUCCAUCAGCGGUGAACUUAGACUAUCCUCUCAGCAUCCCCCAUCCAUGCAAGGCAUCUCAUUCAGGUUUGGAAAGUUACAGCCUGACACAGCCCUGGAGAUCAGGAAACAGGCAUAGAGGGUUGGAUAACGUUCUCAAGGUCACAGUCUGGAGAUGAAACCAGGCAGUAUUGGCUCCAGAGUCUGUGCCUGUAGCCUCUAGGAUGAAACUAAGACUUAGAGCAGGUACAUGUUGCUGGUGUCACCAUGAAGCCAAGAAGCCCUCAAGAACAUAUGUAUAUGCCAAAGUGUAGAGGAUGAAUUUACUGUUAUUGAAGCAAAGGCCGCAGGCAAUCCCUGCACACCACGGUGAGCCUCUGUGCCUCCUGGGGCUUCCAUUUCCCUCUCAGAGGCACAGAACACUUGAGACAGCCAACAUUCUCGCGAAGCACCGCCAUGGGAGGGUGAAUGGCACACAUAGCGGAGGGUCUGUACAGGUCAGUGGUGACGGGCCCUCCCAAGGGCUC
rnacentral:lncRNA from 10 species